UCCCUGGUGGUCCAGUGGUUAAGAUACUACACUUCCAAUGCAGGGGUUGCAGGUUCAAACCCUGGUUGGGGAA